CCCUUAGAUGUUCUGGGCGGCCCGCGCACUACAUUGGCACUGGCAACAAGAUCCUAGAUCUGAUAUUUCGGGGUAUUCUACCAACUGGUGUCGUGACUGGGAUUAACCCCUGCAAUUGUUGGUUAUGAACGAGGAAUUCCUUGUAAUCACGGUUUAUCAACCCGUGUUGAAUGCGUCCCUGCCCUUUGUACACACCGCCCGUCGCUCCUACCGAUGAAUCGUCCGGUGAAGUUCAUGGAGUCGCGGCUGCUCCAGCUGUUUUCGAAGUGAAAUGGACCUCAUGAUUUAGAGGAAGGAGAANUCGUANCA
rnacentral:rRNA from 1 species